GGGAAWGCAGCCCUAAGUGGGUGGUAAAUUCCAUCCAAGGCUAAAUACGGGCMAGAGMCCGWWAGCGAACAAGUCCCGCGAGGGAAAGAUGAAAAGGRCUUUGAAAAGAGAGUUAAAGAGUGCUUGAAAUUNCUGGGAGGGAAGCGAAUGGAGGCUGCGGGUGCCUCCCGGUUGGAUGCGGAACGGCGCAAGCUGGUCCGCCGCUCAACGCGGGAUGCUGGUCAGCGUGGGCUAUCUCGGCGGGACAAGAGCUGGCUUUUGUUGCUUGCCUAUGCCGUUGAGAUGGCCGAGGAAUGAAGCGCGCGCCUUCGGGCGGCCCUCGGGACCUGCGCGCUCGGGACGCUGGCGUAUUGAGCUUUCCAUCCGGCCCGUCUUGAAACACGGACCAAGGAGUCUAACAUGUAUGCGAGCCGGUGGGUGGCAAACCCACAGAGGCGCAAGUAACCUGACAGGUGGGAUCCCCUCGCGGGGAGCACCAUCGACCGACCAUGAUCUUUUGUGAAAGGUUCGAGUAAGAGCAUACCUGAUGGGACCCGAAAGAUGGUGAACUAUGCCUGAGCAGGGCGAAGCCAGAGGAAACUCUGGUGGAGGCUCGUAGCGAUACUGACGUGCAAAUCGUUCGUCAGACUUGGGUAUAGGGGCGAAAGACUAAUCGAACCAUCUAGUAGCUGGUUCCCUCCGAAGUUUCCCUCAGGAUAGCUGGAGCUCAUGAAGUUUUAUCAGGUAAAGCGAAUGAUUAGAGGCAUCGGGGGUGAAACACCCYYGCCCNRUUCUCAAMMWKKAAAUAGGUAAGAUGC
rnacentral:rRNA from 1 species